AGGAAUCCUAUUCUGAAAACAGGAAUCAAGAAGAAGGAGAGGAACUACCAGAAUGCUGUUCCCACAACUGGUGGGUGGAUUCAACUCAGCGUGUUUGGAAUCAUUGGCCAGAGACCAACGUGACAGUCCUGGGAUUUCCAUCCUGGGAAAUUUCUCAAUGAAAACUCAGCCCCAUAAGACAGAAAAUGAGAGAAGGAAACUGAAGGGCAGUUUCUCAACUAAGGCUGAAUAACACGCCCAAGAUCGCACAGCAAGGAAGAAACAGAGCCUGAGAUCAAACUUAAGCUGUCUGGCACCACAGUCUGUAUGCCUUUAUUUCCCUAUUCCACCUGUUUACAAAUUAAGAGUUGUUUUUAAUUUUUGACAAAU